UAAAGGGUCAGACAUGACAUUCCUUACGACUUGUCAGGUCAGAACGUUCAACUUGCUCAUGACUGAUGUGCACUUAUGGGGCCUACUUAUGAUCUUCCUGCGAGCUAAUACUUGCCACGCGGCUUUACUUUAUUUUUGUUUAAGCUUGAGGCAGAGGGCAAGAAAUAUCUAUUAACAUCGCCGGACGGUACAUAACUGCAUGACUUACAAAAUGAAGUAAUCAAAGUAUUUUUUAAUGUCGAGAUCUACAUUUCUAUGAAAACAGUUUUUAGACGAGAAAGUGGUAUAACAUGACCAAUGCUACUUUAAAAGAAGGGUUCCAGAUGCAAUUUGCUUUCGUAACUGAUAGUAUUUGCAGUGGUAAUGCAGUUUUACCUUUCACGGCCAAUAAUAGAUUUCCAUGGAUGAAAACGGUCAGCACCAGCAGAGUUGGACGACUCAUCCUCACAGACUAAACCUCUACCAAAUGACUGUGAUCUGUAUCUGUGAAGUGUGUUUUAUAAUUCAAUAAAGAAAGUCUCUUGCAUAA